UACGAGGGGAGCAAGCGUUGUUCGGAAUCAUUGGGCGUAAAGGGCGCGUAGGCGGCCGUACAAGUCUGGGGUGAAAGCCCUCGGCUCAACCGAGGAAUUGCCUUGGAAACUGUAUGGCUUGAGUAUUGGAGAGGAAGGCGGAAUUCCCAGUGUAGCGGUGAAAUGCGUAGAUAUUGGGAGGAACACCUGUGGCGAAGGCGGCUUUCUGGACAAUCACUGACGCUGAGGCGCGAAAGCCAGGGGAGCAAACGGG
rnacentral:rRNA from 1 species